rnacentral:rRNA from 1 species
CGUGAAGUUGGAAUUGCUAGUAAUCGCGGAUCAGCAUGCCGCGGUGAAUACGUUCCCGGGCCUUGUACACACCGCCCGUCACACCAUGGGAGCCGGUAAUACCCGAAGUCAGUAGCCUAACCGCAAGGGGGGCGCUGCCGAAGGUAGGAUUGGCGACUGGGGUGAAGUCGUAACAAGGUAUC